AAUGAACGCUGGCGGCAUGGAUUAGGCAUGCAAGUCGAACGGCAGCCGGUAUCCGCUUGCGGAAACCGGCGAGAGUGGCGCAAGGGUGAGUAACACGUGAGCAACCUGCCCCCGAAUCGGGGAUAGCCCCGGGAAACCGGGAUUAAUACCCGAUACGGUGGCGCCGCCGCAUGGCGGCGCGACCAAAGAUUUUAUUGUUCGGGGAUGGGCUCGCGUCCCAUUAGCUAGUUGGCGGGGUAACGGCCCGCCAAGGCGAAGACGGGUAGGUGGUCUGAGAGGAUGGUCACCCACACUGGGACUGAGACACUGCCCAGACUCCUACGGGAGGCUGCAGUCGAGAAUCUUCCGCAAUGGGCGCAAGCCUGACGGAGCAAUGCCGCGUGAGGGAUGACGGCCUUCGGGUUGUAAACCUCUGUCACCGGGGACGAAGAAUUGACGGUACCCGGAGAGGAAGCCACGGCUAACUACGUGCCAGCAGCCGCGGUAAUACGUAGGUGGCGAGCGUUAUUCGGAUUUACUGGGCGUAAAGGGUCCGCAGGGGGUUCGGCAAGUCUGGUGUGAAAGCCCGCGGCUCAACCGCGGAACGGCAUUGGAAACUGUCGGACUCGAGAGCGCGAGAGGAAGGCGGAAUUCCAGGUGUAGCGGUGGAAUGCGUAGAUAUCUGGAAGAACACCGGCGGCGAAGGCGGCCUUCUGGCGCGUUUCUGACCCUGAGGGACGAAAGCGUGGGUAGCGAACAGGAUUAGAUACCCUGGUAGUCCACGCUGUAAACGUUGUGCGCUCGACGCGGGAGCAGCCGUUCCGGCUUUUUCCGUGUCCAAGCUAACGCGUUAAGCGCACCGCCUGGGGACUACGGCCGCAAGGCUAAAACUCAAAGGAAUUGACGGGGGCCCGCACAAGCGGUGGAGCAUGUGGCUUAAUUCGAGGCAACGCGAAGAACCUUACCCGGGUUUGACAUAUACCCGACGGUCCCGGAGACGGGGCUUCUCUUCGGAGCGGGUAUACAGGUGCUGCAUGGCUGUCGUCAGCUCGUGCCGUGAGGUGUUCGGUUAAGUCCGGCAACGAGCGCAACCCGCGUGUCCAAUUGCCAGCGAGUAAUGUCGGGGACUUUGGACAGACCGCCCGUGUCAAGCGGGAGGAAGGCGCGGACGACGUCAAGUCAGUAUGGCCCUUACGCCCGGGGCUGCACACGUGCUACAAUGGCCGGUUCAAUGGGAAGCGAUGCCGCGAGGCGGAGCCAAUCCCCAAACCCGGCCCCAGUUCGGAUUGGAGUCUGCAACUCGACUCCAUGAAGCCGGAAUCGCUAGUAAAGGCGCAUCAGCAACGGCGCCUUGAAUACGUUCCCGGGCCUUGUACACACCGCCCGUCACAUCAUGGGAGCCGGAUGCACCCGAAGUCGCCGGGCCAACCCGUUCGCGGGGGGCAGGCGCCGAAGGUGUGUCCGGUGACUGGGAUG
rnacentral:rRNA from 1 species